AUGACCUAUCAAUGACCAUUCAAUUCAAUCCUACUCAUGUAUGGAGGGAAAAUUUGUUGUACAAAUUCCUAUGAUCCUCCUUCUUCCUAGCUAAUUUUUUUUUUUCAACAUGAAACACACACACACACACAAUGAAUAAAAAACAAAGAUGCCCAAAAAAAGGUAAAGCCACAAAGACAAAAAAUUUAUAAGUUUUUCAAUGUAUUAAACAACCAGUUUUGUUGUGUGUGGAUGUGUUGGGGGUUUGACAUUAUAUAGACAAAUAAAUCAAAGAAAAUUGUAAUAAAUUAAGCACAAAUUUUAUAAGAAGAAGAAAAGUUUUUUUUUGAAGGAAAAGAAAGGCUUUUUUUUUGCCUCCCCCACCAUCACAAGCCACCAUCACCACACCUAACAAGAACAAAAAAAACAAAAUCAAGAAAGUACAUUUUCUGUUUUUUUUUUUUGAUUUUUGUUGUUUUGGUGUCACCAGCUGAGCAAAAGAUAAUAUGGGUCACAUUUUUUUUUGAUAAGAAUUUGAUCUUGGUAAGGAUUUGAUUUAGUUAUUCAUAAAAAAAGUUUUUUUUUUUUUUUUAAGGUUGUUGUUGUUUUGGCAAAGACUAUUUGGGUGGCAUUUGUAUUGUUUUUUUUUAAGGUGGUUGUUUUGGCAAAGACUAUUUGGGUGGCAUUUGUUUCUUGAUAAAACAUUGAUCUUGCCACCACCAGAGCAAAGGUUUAAGGUCAUUAUAAUUUCUAGUUGAAAUUUUUGAUCUUGGUAAGGAGCUGCAGCUGGUGGGCUGCUGGUUUUUUUCGAGAUGGGAAGUUUAGAUAUUACAAAAAUGUGGAGAGACCCUGGUGCUCCGGCUGAUUCGUUCUAUCAGGUUCGGCCUGAAUGUACGGAUGUUCCCAAGUCCAAAUUUAGAAUCAAGAAUGGAAAGACCCUAAGUGCAAGAAAAUGGCGUGCUGCGUUUUCUUCAGAAGGUGUUCUUGAUAUAGGCAAAACACUCGGUCGAAUUCAUCGAGGGGGAAUUCAUCCAUCAAUUAGAGGUGAAGUUUGGGAAUUCUUGCUUGGUUGCUACGAUCCAAAGAGCACAUAUGCGGAACGAGAGGAUAUAAAAAAACAAAGACGGACACAGUAUGCUAUACUAAAAGAAGAAUGCUGCACAAUGUUUCCGGUGAUUGGAAGUGGUAGAUAUAUUACUGCACCUGUAAUAACAGAAGACGGUGAUCCUAUUCUAGAUCCUUUAGUACUUCAAGAGGCAAAAGCGGCAAAAGCAGCAAAAGACGCAAAGGAAGAGACUCCAGCUGGUCAAGAAAAUGUAACAGGUGCUUCCGAUGAAAAUGAGAUGGUAAAGGAGCAUGACAAAAGAGUGAUAGAGUGGAAACUCUCGUUACACCAGAUAGGACUCGAUGUGGCUCGAACCGACAGGUCACUUGUCUUUUAUGAGAAACAAGAGAAUCUAUCAAAGCUUUGGGAUAUCUUGUCCGUCUAUGCUUGGUUUGACAAAGAUGUUAAUUAUUGUCAAGGGAUGAGUGAUCUUUGCUCUCCGAUGAUUAUUCUUCUCGAUGAUGAAGCAGAUGCAUUUUGGUGCUUCGAACGUUUAAUGAGACGACUGCGAGGAAAUUUCAGAUACACCGCUAAUUCUGUUGGAGUAGAAUCGCAGCUAAAUAAUCUAGCUUCAGUAACUCAAGUUAUCGAUCCCAAACUUCACCAACACUUAGAUAAGUUAGGUGGAGGUGAUUACUUAUUUGCUGUGCGGAUGCUCAUGGUUUUGUUCCGUCGAGAGUUUUCUUUUUGUGAUUCGUUAUAUCUUUGGGAGAUGAUGUGGGCGCUGGAAUAUGAUCCGGACAUGUUUCUUACGUACGAAGAACCUGAAUUAGUUGCGGGAAAAUCUGAAGAAUCUAAAGCAAAAGCAAAGUCACGCCAUGUUGGGAAAUAUGAACGAGAAAACAUGAAAAAUGCAGGCAAAGCUUCAGAAGGUCCACUUCCUAUUUCCGUUUUCCUAGUCGCCAGUGUCCUGAAAGACAAGAGUACUAAAUUGCUGACAGAAGCAAGAGGACUCGACGACGUUGUGAAGAUACUGAAUGACGUUAAUGGAAACCUGGAUGCCAAAAAGGCUUGCACCGGUGCAAUGAAACUUCACAGGAAGUAUCUUAAAAAGGCCGCGAACACCAACAGAUAGCUGAGCCAAAAGGAACCGCUAGAUGAUUCAUGAACCAUGGAGCUCAUGUAGACCAAGAAGGCUCUAACAAGUUGGAUACUCCGAUUUUCGGCCAAGUCAAGGGACAAUGGGUAUUUUUGUAUAUUGUGCUACUGAUUUAGAAAGAGAAAAUGUAAAUUGUUCAUUCCUUUUGGUUCCAUAUUUGGAACUACCAUCAUGUACAUUUAACUUUUUUUUCCAAGUAGUAAAUGUGCCUUCAAGGUUGAUGUAUACAAAAACACACUUCCAAAGUUUGUACAAUAUGAAAGCAAAAAAAGGGAACAAAUUUAGUCAAA